CCGUGCCCAAGAGAUCGGGAUAACACCUGGAAACAGAUGCUAAUACCGGAUAACAACAGAUGAUGCCUAUCAACUGUUUAAAGGAUGGUUCUGCUAUCACUCUUGGAUGGACCUGCGGUGCAUUAGCUAGUUGGUAGGGUAACGGCCUACCAAGGCGAUGAUGCAUAGCCGAGUUGAGAGACUGAUCGGCCACAUUGGGACUGAGACACGGCCCAAACUCCUACGGGAGGCAGCAGCU
rnacentral:rRNA from 1 species